rnacentral:sRNA from 1 species
GACACUCCAGCAUUUUCGCCCCAUUGGCGGU